rnacentral:rRNA from 1 species
AUGCCAACCUUCGCGCUCACGGCGCUGCGAAUACCAAAGAAGUUCAUAAAGGAGAUCGACAAGUCAAGACGGCGCUUCCUCUGGGCGGGAGACGAAGAAAUCUCGGGCGGCAAAUGCAAGGUUCGCUGGGCCUCAGUGACCAAGCUGGAGCGACUGGGCGGACUGGGCAUCCCUGACCUCAGCCGUUUCGCCCGGGCUCUACGGAUGCGCUGGCUAUGGCUCUCCUGGAGGCAGCCAACCAGGCCCUGGGUUGGCACCGGGACGCCAUGCGACGCUGCUAAUCGGGCUCUUUUCGCGGCCUCCACGGUGGUGACCAUCGGGAACGGCGCUACCGCGUCUUUCUGGUCUUGCUCCUGGCUGGGAGGGAGGCAACUCUGCUCGGCAUACCCCGACUUGUUCGCCUGA